rnacentral:rRNA from 1 species
CAGCAGUGAGGAAUAUUGGGCAAUGGAGGCAUCUCUGACCCAGCCAUGCCGCGUGCAGGAAGACGGCCCUCUGGGUUGUAAACUGCUUUUGUUUGGGAAUAAACCCUUCUACGUGUAGGAGGCUGAAGGUACCUUACGAAUAAGCAUCGGCUAACUCCGUGCCAGCAGCCGCGGUAAUACGGAGGAUGCAAGCGUUAUCCGGAUUUAUUGGGUUUAAAGGGUCCGUAGGCGGAUCUUUAAGUCAGUGGUGAAAGCCCACAGCUCAACUGUGGAACUGCCAUUGAUACUGGAGAUCUUGAGUGUAGUAGAAGUAGGCGGAAUAGGGCAUGUAGCGGUGAAAUGCAUAGAUAUGCCCUAGAACACCGAUUGGGAAGGCAGCUUACUAUGUUACAACUGACGGUGAGGGAAGAAAGGGUGGGGAGCAAACAGGAUUAGAUACCCUGUUAGUCCACGCUGUAAACGAUGAUUACUCGCUGUUGGCGACAUACAGUCAGCGGCCAAGCGAACGCAUUAAGUAAU